GCUUGACUGCGAGACAGACACGUCGAGCAGGUACGAAAGUAGGUCUUAGUGAUCCGGUGGUUCUGUAUGGAAGGGCCAUCGCUCAACGGAUAAAAGGUACUCCGGGGAUAACAGGCUGAUACCGCCCAAGAGUUCAUAUCGACGGCGGUGUUUGGCACCUCGAUGUCGGCUCAUCACAUCCUGGGGCUGAAGCCGGUCCCAAGGGUAUGGCUGUUCGCCAUUUAAAGUGGUACGCGAGCUGGGUUUAGAACGUCGUGAGACAGUUCGGUCUCUAUCUGCCGUGGACGUUUGAGAUUUGAGAGGGGCUGCUCCUAGUACGAGAGGACCGGAGUGGACGAACCUCUGGUGUUCCGGUUGUCACGCCAGUGGCAUUGCCGGGUAGCUAUGUUCGGAAAAGAUAACCGCUGAAAGCAUCUAAGCGGGAAACUUGCCUCAAGAUGAGAUCUCACUGGGAACUUGAUUCCCCUGAAGGGCCGUCGAAGACUACGACGUUGAUAGGCUGGGUGUGUAAGCGUUGUGAGGCGUUGAGCUAACCAGUACUAAUUGCCCGUGAGGCUUGACCA
rnacentral:rRNA from 1 species